CUUUCUUAUCUCCUUGGCACAAAAUUAUCUCCUCAACUUCCCCAUACUGCGCACCCACCUCCCCAUACCACGGCGGCGGCGGCACUUCACCAGUUCACCUGCUAGGGCGGCGGGACUUCACCAGUCCAUCUACACGGGCGGUGGCGAGACGACUUCACCAGUUCGUCUGCACGGGCGGCGGUGGUGCUCCACUUGCACGCGCGAUGGCGGGGCUCCACUUGCACGCGCGGCGGCGGGCACAUCCUUCAACAGAUCCGAAGCAAACAUGGGUCCAGGGAGGAAGGGAAUACGAAGCACAAGGGAACCCCCACCAGCAGAAAUCAGUCCUACUGACUAUGAGAAACAGAGGGCAGAGAAUGUGAUGAGGAAUAAUCAGAUGUUCCAACGACUUGGGAUUAAUCAGUUACCCACAAUGAUGACUGCCACAAGAGCAAGGAGCAAAUAUGAUGGUCCUCAAGAAUCAGGGUCUUUGUUUGACGGCGAGGACAGUGAAGGCUCUGAGCAAGAGGAAGUAAACAAGUUUCUAAUUCAUCUAUUUGUUUCCUCAUGUUAUAUAUCGUUACACAUGCAUUUGCAAAUAAAUUGAUAUGCAUGAUUAUUGUAUUAUACCUACAGGAUUCCCAUGUUGCAAAAGGUGUACAUGGCCACAACCCCACUCAUGUUGCUGACAAAACUACACAAGGAACACGAGGAUCUAAGAGGGUUGUGGCCCCUGAUGUUCCUGGACAAGAAAUUAGAUUCACUAGGCAAAGGAGUGCUGCCAUAAACCAACAAUCCUCCUUAAGCCUAACUACUACUACACAUGCUAGUUCACGAACCACCACAAACCAAGCAUCCACAGAGAACUUGACUACCGCAACACAUUUCACUUCAAGUGUUGCCACUGAGCAAGAUUACACCGAAGGCCUGAAUACUGCUACACAACCUACUUCUCCCAUAUAAGCUAAGGUCAAUGACCACAAUACAGAUGAAGAAUUGGUACCAAGGCAACGAAGUAGGGGCAAACAACUUGAAUCCUUGAGCAGAGGGUUAGGCACUAAGAUUCCAAUCCAAAUCUCUGAUGGAAAGCGAAGGCCAGAACCACCUAUUCAGGCUGCAAAGUUUGCAUCGGAGGGUGGGAUCAUACUGAGCAACACAUUCCAAUAUUUUUGCACUGGAAGGAGUACAAGAAGCAAGAGAACGAGGGUAAAAUUACAGAGUACAUUGGGAAGCUUGUUGGUCAAUUCAUCAUGGAUGUUGACAGUAAUUCAGUAAAAGAUGCAUGUGUUGAUAUGCUAAAGGGUGGACAACGCCAAAUGAGGUAUAGGCUGAAAAAAGUACUUCACUGGAGUUCCUGCAAAUCAAGUGAGGACUACAUCACCUGUUUCAUGUAUGACUAAUGAUCAAUGGAGAGAGUUGGUACAAA
rnacentral:misc_RNA from 1 species